UCUUGCUCAAACCUCAUAAGAAAAAAGCUUAAAAAGUCACCACGUGAGGUAAAAAGCUUUUUGCUGUCAAACAGCUGUUUUAAUAAAAAUAAGCAAACAAAAAUUGACACACAAAUGGAUAAUCAGCAUAUGCAUACAAAAACGGAAAGAACAACUCAGGAGUGGCUGCAACAUUUCAUAAUGUUUUGCAAGCAGCAUCCUGAGUUGCAACGGGGGAAGCUAACUCCGACAAACCCUCAAGGGCUGCAAAUACUUUGGUCGGAGUUAGCAGAUAAUUUAAAUGCCUUAAGAGGUCCACCUCGGUCGGCAGCUAAGUGGAGGGAGGUAAGUUGUUCAUAAAUCAUAAAAAAUGAAAUAAAAAUGUAAAAAAGUAAAAAA